rnacentral:lncRNA from 1 species
UGGUGAUAAUUCCGUGACAGUUGGAAGAUGGGGUUCAUUCUUCCGGUUCAGGAAUCACUAUGUAUUUCCUUCUUGUGAUAAAAAUAAAAUUACGAGAAGGCAAUGUGAGGUUUUAGUACAUCAUAGCACUUUAUUUUAUGAAAACAUGUAGCAGAUUUUCCACAAAAAUGCUUAUUUUUAAUCCAAAAGUAUAUUGCUUCAUAAUGGUAUUCAGUGCACAGCAGAGUAAAAGAAGUUAAUUCAUGAUGUACUGGUUAAUUUUGCAUGGCUUCUUAAGGCCAGCAAAAUGCUGGCAGUUUUCUUUAUCUUUGUGAAGAACAGGCCCUUCCUGUUUGGGGAAGUUGGCUUUUAUGUCAGCUCUUGGCCAGUGGUCACUUCCAAGCCUGGUGUCUCCGGCCCUGUAGUCUGUAGUGCCAGACUGUGCUGGCCUGGAGAGUGCUGGGGCAGGUGGAGGCCAGGGAAUGGUCCCAUACAGUUAUCUCCCCUGCCCUGGUUACAGACAGCUUCGAGAACCAGAGGAGAAGAGCAUAGGGUCAUGGAGCAGGUGGGCUGAAGCCAGGGCCACAGGGAGCAAUCCGUGACCCCCCAAGGUGGGUGUGGGGGGGGGGGGGGGCGUGUCACCUUAGGGAACUCAAUGAGUCCGAAGAACAAUUUGAAAUGUUGGGAAAAGAGAAGAGGAAUUUGAUGUCAGCCGGGGUGAUCCCUGAGAUAGAGGCCUGUCUCUGAUGGCAUGAGCUCUAAGAGGGUCCUGGAGGAUUGGUACAUCCUAGAACAUUCCAGUUAGCCCUCUUUUAGGGGAAACUGGCAUAGGAUUGAUGCAGAAGGCAUUUUUGAUGAUGGGACCAAAAUUCAAGUCUCCUUGGUAGCAUUCUAGGAUCAACUAGAUCCUAGGAUCUGGUAGAUUGUAGGAUUCUAGUGGGUAGAGGCCAGGGGUGCUGUGAAACAUCCUGCAGUGCACAGGAUGGUCCCACAAGAGAGGAUGAUCCGGCCCAGAAUGUCAGUGCUGAGCCUGAGAAACUCAUCUAAGGCCUGGUCCACAACAGUAAUGUGACUGUUCACUCGUGACAACUUCAGAUGGUAAAUGGACUUAGGAUCGUAUUAUUUUAUUUAAAAGAAAAAUAAGGAGCUGGUUUUUCAGCCGGGUUCCUUUCCCCUAUGCACUGGAAUACCCCUGGUAGGUGUGAGCUGCAUGCAAUUGUGGGGAUUCAGCACUGAAAUCUAGGUGCUUUUGUUUUCUCCAGCAGCCUCGUCUUACAGCGUGACUGCAAAGAAAAAGACUUUUGUUUUGCAAAAGAAAAGCAGCUCGGUGACUCCGUCCACAUCGCCACAGUUGAGUCAGAUGGCAGUGGCAGUCCUUUGCCAGUGGAAGGAGUUCCUGCUAAGGGGAGGUGCAGGAGGACUAAUUUAUUAUUGUGCAACUGCCAGUCCUGCGCAUUCCAGCUACGCUAAGCGCCCUGCCCAGGCACGUAACAAAACAUAGACCUGUUUUGAAGUGGCUUGUUACCCAAGGGUGCCUCACUCAUCUGCGCCACCAGGAAGAUGAACUGUGAGGGCUCCUAUAAGGGGCAGGAAGAGCAAAGCUGUCCUAGGCCAACCAGAGAUUCAUCUUUCAUGCAGUGACAUGUUGAUAAAAAAUGAUGGAAGUACCACCAAGAACAGGGAAGGACAAGCCAGAGGCUGGAGGAAGAUACCUGCAGAACACAGACCUGACAAAGGAUCAGUAUCAAAACAUAUAAGAAUUUUGACAAAUGAAUAAAAAGAGUACAAAUAACCCAACAUAAAGUCAAAAGGCGUGAUCAGGCAUUUCACAGAAGCAAACACCUUUGGUGGAUGCCCAUGAGGAGAGGCGCAGUCACAUCAGUGCCCAGGAGAUGCAAACCCAGAUCCCAGGGGUGUGCAUCCCACCCGUUCUGCCUGUAGGAUCUGCAAACCCGGCAAAACCUAGUUCUAGAGAGACUGGAUUCACUGCAUGUCUUCAUCACUGCUGGAGGGAGCGCAGACUGCUAUCGCCUCUUAGAAAAUGACUUAGUUCUCAUGUAAUUUGGGCAUUCACACAUCCUCAUCCUAGAUCCAGCUUUUCCACUCCCGCACACGUACUGGAAAACCUGUACAGGAACAUCCACUGCAGCACUGCUCAUACCAAACACAACCUACAUGUUCUCUGCACAGAGAGGGGAGAAGAGCCGGUCAGUUCACUCAGUGGACUCUGUGCUCAAUAGUAGGUGUGAAUAAGCCGCAGCCGCCCAGACCGCAUGGGCCAACCUCAGUC